rnacentral:rRNA from 1 species
AACGAACGCUGGCGGCAGGCUUAACACAUGCAAGUCGAACGGGUGUAGCAAUACAUCAGUGGCAGACGGGUGAGUAACACGUGGGAACCUUCCUAGGGGUACGGAACAACUCAGGGAAACUUGAGCUAAUACCGUAUACGUCCGUGAGGAGAAAGAUUUAUCGCCCUUAGACGGGCCCGCGUCGGAUUAGGUAGUUGGUGGGGUAACGGCCUACCAAGCCGACGAUCCGUAGCUGAUCUUAGAGGAUGAUCAGCCACACUGGGACUGAGACACGGCCCAGACUCCUACGGGAGGCAGCAGUGGGGAAUCUUGGACAAUGGGCGCAAGCCUGAUCCAGCCAUGCCGCGUGAGUGAAGAAGGCCUUAGGGUUGUAAAGCUCUUUUGGCAGGGACGAUAAUGACGGUACCUGCAGAAUAAGCCCCGGCAAACUUCGUGCCAGCCGCCGCCGUAAAAC